UUGUAACAUUUACGAAAUACGAAACAAAGUAGUUUGCAGGACGUACAAUGUACAUUGCAAAUGAAUUGCUGAUCAUCCUCGAUAGAGCGGAACCCUUCAUCGGUUUUCAUUAUCACCCCUCCCUGAUCCAUUUUUAUUAUAUGGGCCUCGAUUUGGGAAAAGGGGCUUUAUUGCUGUGCGUCUUCUUGGAUUAGCCUUUGAAGUCCGCAAUGGUUAAAAGUGUGCGACACUGUCCGAUUGAAUGGAAUUUGCAAUAAAAUUAAGUAUUUUGUCUAAACGAAGUGAGUUCUUUGCGAAAAGUCCCUGAUUAGCAAGUGAGGAAUGUAUAGGCUAAUCUUGGACGAAAAUGUCACGCGUAGUUUUUUUCCAAGAACGCAGCUCAUCUAGUGUUAUUCGUUUUUCUGUUAUAGUGCGCAGCAAAUACUGGGUGUUCCAGAUGUGUACCCUAGAUACGAGAAGGCCAUUUGUGCAUGGGCCCCAGAUGUCAUCGACGAAAACCAGUUCUUGGAGUUCCAGUUCGCCACUCCCGUCUACGUAACAAAAGUCGACGUCUACGAGGUCUACAAAGCUGGCGGUGUCAAGGCCAUUAAAUGCUUCGAUGUCUCAGAAGAGUGGAUAACGCUAUGGUCGACGGACCAAGUAUCCGUUUUUGAGUCUGCGAGGAUAUUUAGUCCAUCGUUUACGUCUACACGUCCUUGUUUCUCGAACCACAUUCGGCUGGAUAUCGACUGCACCGUGGCAAACACCUGGGUGCAGAUAGACGCUGUAAGGCUGCACGGCUCCAAAGAGGCAGUGCAGUGGGUCAAUGAUGUGAUUGGGUAUUCUUCGGCGUAUGGAC